rnacentral:tRNA from 1 species
GGGGUUGUGGCUCAGCGGUAGAGCGCUCGCCUAGCAUGUGUGAGGACCUGGGUUUGAUCCUCAGCACCACA